AGAUGAGGUAGAGGUUGCGGUUGUUAGUAGUAGCUCUGUGGAGGCGGGAAGCGCCGAGGAUGCAGAGGGAAAGGAACCACCGCCGAAGUCUGCGGGCAUCUUCCGGCACGCGGGCUGGGGCUGUUGCCGAAAGGCGCAGCACUGUCAUACGGGUUUACCCGUUCCCGUAUGGUGCGCUAUCUUUUAU
rfam:Paenibacillus popilliae ATCC 14706 DNA, contig: contig256.